CAACCUACAGCCUCACUACCGCCGAGAACACAGAAAAGGUGACUGAAAAUGCUCCAAACAACACACUUUCAGAAUUCUACCACAUUUUCUAAGUAAAUUGCCUUCAUGGAUACAUAUUUUUGGACCAUCGAAAUAAAUGCUCCGCUGGUUUCGUUUCCAUUGUGAUCCCGCGGCUCGUGCAGUAUUGAAGCUGGCAGGUGAUUUUGGCGGGCUGCUAAAGCGCGCGCUUUCUAUUUCUCAGAGAACCGCGCAAAUGAAUGAACACGGGCGGGAAAAAUGAGCGCAAUUUUCUCACGUAUCCACUCAUCUUUCCACUUCGCCCUCUGCAAAUCAACGCACUCAUUCUGGAACGACAAGAGGAGAGAGUUCGCCUCUAUCACACGAGCGAAUCUUCAAGAAAAAGAGAUUCACAGACUGGAGACUUAUAGCAGGAUUCAUAUCCCAGAAAGGUGACUCUUCCAGCGGGCACGGUGACAGCCGGGUUCAGACGCCUGCAGGCAGAAACAGUGACAGGUAACAGCCAGCUCUCUGGGGGGCGAGCGAGGCAGAGAGAGAGAGAGAGAGAGAGAGAUGAGCAGGAUCAUCAAGUCAAAGAUGCUUCCUAUAUAGAUAGCAGGCGUGCUGAUAUUACCACCAGAGACCGUCUGGAUAUAGUACAAAAUAUUAUUGCAUUGUUUUUUAACCUGGUGCAAUCUAGAAUUUUAAUCGAUUUUUGCUACUAUAAAUGUAUUGAUGAUGUGCUUGCUUUUGAAAAUACUUGAUGCUGUAAUGAUGGGUUAGUGCAUAAUUUUUUUUACACUUUAUUGAUUUGUAACGAGCUGCAGCUUGAUACUUGUUACUUGAGUGUAAGUGUAAGUAGGGGCAUUUUUGUAAAUAAAAGUUUUGGGUGUUUUCAUGAAACAUUUUCUAUGGAAAGUUUUGUCUUGGGUGCUAAAUAUGUGAAGAAAAAAUUUUAUGAUUGUCAAUUACUGAAUUUUAUCUUGGGUCAAGCUAAAUUAGUAGCAAAAACAAGAUUGAUCAGAAGUUGGACAGAAUGUUGUUGUUUUGAUUGAAUUCAAUUUCUACAAGAUGAUCAUUUUUCUUUUGAAC